GAAUCUGCCCUCAGGAGGGGGAUACGGCCGGAAACGGCCGCUAAUACCCCAUAUGCCGAGAGGUGAAAUGAAUUUCGCCUGAGGAUGAGCCCGCGUCUGAUUAGCUAGUUGGUGGGGUAAUGGCCCACCAAGGUCGACCAUCAGUAGCUGGUCUGAGAGGAUGAUCAGCCACACUGGGACUGAGACACGGCCCAGACUCCUACGGGAGGCAGCAGUGGGGAAUUUUCCGCAAUGGGCGAAAGCCUGACNGAGCAACGCCCCGUGAGGGAUGAAGGCCUCUGGGCUGUAAACCUCUUUUCUCAAGGAAGAAGACAUGACGGUACUUGAGGAAUAAGCCACGGCUAANUCCGUGCCAGCAGCCGCGGUAAUACGGGAGUGGCAAGCGUUAUCCGGAAUUAUUGGGCGUAAAGCGUCCGCAGGCGGCCUUGUAAGUCUGUCGUUAAAGCGUGGAGCUUAACUCCCUUUCAGCGAUGGAAACUACAAGGCUUGAGUGUGGUAGGGGCAGAGGGAAUUCCCGGUGUAGCGGUGAAAUGCGUANAUAUCGGGAAGAACACCAGUGGCGAANGCGCUNUGCUGGGCCAUAACUGACGCUUANGGACCAAAGCCAGGGGAGCG
rnacentral:rRNA from 1 species